rnacentral:rRNA from 1 species
UACGAAGGGGGCUAGCGUUGUUCGGAAUUACUGGGCGUAAAGGGCGCGUAGGCGGCCUGCUAAGUCGAACGUGAAAUCCCUGGGCUCAACCCAGGAACUGCGUCCGAUACUGGUUGGCUUGAAUUCGGGAGAGGGAUGCGGAAUUCCAGGUGUAGCGGUGAAAUGCGUAGAUAUCUGGAGGAACACCGGUGGCGAAGGCGGCAUCCUGGACCGAUAUUGACGCUGAUGCGCGAAAGCCAGGGGAGCAAACGGGAUUAGAAACCCCUGUAGUCC